ensembl:lncRNA
CACAGUACCAGUAUCAAGCGCUGCCAUUCUUACUGCUUUAUUUUUUCAAACAACAUAGAAGUUAAAGCUUUGUUUAAAAGAACAGCUUUUUCUUGUAGUCGGUGAUGUCUCAUCCACUAUAACAUCAAAAUGUUUCAGUUAGUUGUCGAUCACUAUACAGAUGAGAGGGGAAUAAUUGGCUGCCUUCAACGAGGCACAGAAAUGAAAAUAUUCUCUACAAGCAAAAAAAAAGAUCCUUGGCUCCAUAUCACUGUUUGCUCAACGUUUAUGAUAACUGAGAGAUACCUCUUUGACUAUAAAGCAAUGAAAACUUAAAGUUAUUAUCUACUUCCAGAGGACUGGGGAGCUUAUUUACUGAAUCAUACAGCAAUGUAUCGUUCAGAUAAGUUAGCAUUUGGUCUGGAAAAUUGUGAAAUACGAUAUUUCAACACUUCUCCUCUCCUGCCAAGGGAGCUUCGGAAUCACAGAAGACAGUUUAUUUUGAACAUAUGGAAAAGAUGAGGAAUGUCCUCCCAGAGAUAACCAUCUCUAACCUGCAGUUGACAGGAUCUUCAGACCUUCUCCAGCUAUUAGACGUUACUUUUGUACAUUAGGACAGCGGGAGUCACGUGAGGAGCAACCAUACCUUUAACACCCAUUUCUCUGGCUCAUGAGGACACAGUGCAUCACCAACCAGUGAGCAAGACAGAUCUGAGGAGAUUUUCCAAGUACUUGAUGGCAGCCUUAAGUUAAAUUAAUGCAUCUGAAGGAAGCAAAAGUGUCUCAUUACAAAAAGUGCCAUGGAAAAGGUUGGAUAGUUAAACAGAUGAGCUCUGAAUACUUCUUUCCCUGUAAGAAUUAAUGACCAUACAUAAAUGAAAUCUCUACAGCUUGAAGAAAGCAGUAUCCAAGAAAGUCGAUUUGAUCUGUUCUCCAAAUGGAUGCCCCUAACUACAUUCAGGGACUCUGAACAUGACGUGGAGGAAUGACACAGCCAAGUAGAGUUGACAGAAGCUUGCAAAAUAUCCAGGAGUUUUCAAAGCCUUUCACCCUCAUUAAUCACAAAGAUAUUCUGCAGGUCACUGCUGAAUGCAGAUUGGGAUGAAUGCUACAGUACCAUAAUGUCACAAGAAGCCAAGACAAGCAUGUGCUAGAAUCCAUUAGACAUUAUCACCUGUGGAUGGUACCUCUGAGAGGAAGCAGACGGCUUAAUAAAUGAAUGAUUAAAACUGAAGUGCAAGACUGCCACAGAAAAAAGCUCCAUGACACCUUCUGUAAUCAGUUGACCAACAUACUAGGCUUUUGCUGUCACAUGGAAUCUAAGAGAAUGCAUUCAUGGUGCAUCUUGAAAUCAAUGCACAGGCUAGCAUUCUCACCCCAAAACACCACUUUCCAACAUGAAGGAAAUUUGGUUUGUACUCCAGACAGAAUGAAACAGAGCUCCGCGUCCUGCAUUAUAGCAGUGCUCACCUUCCCUCUGAUGCUAAACCCUCUAAUCUGUGGGUUUUUGUGCAAGUGGACUCUGGGAACACUUCGCAUCUAUGGGAUCAGUAUGGCUGAGACCACGUGCAAAGACAAGUAUAGAACAGAAAAUAGUUCCUUUCCCGCAGAGUGAGGGGAAACCCAGAAGAGGAAUUACGAGGGUGGAGGUGAAGAAAUCCCUCUGGUCCAUCUCUGAACACUGAGGAGGGGCAUAGCUGGGCAUGAGAAGCUGCAGGAAGAGUGGGAAUAGAAAAACAGGAAGGCUGGAAGCUAUGGAUCAGCUCCAUAUCAAAGAUCUUAUCAGUAUCUUCAAUGACUCAUUUAUGUUUUUUUCCCCUCCAAUAUUUUUGUGGCAUAUCCAGUUUCUUUAUUACCAUACAAAGAUUGGGAAAUUAAGCAGAAAAAGAUGGAGAGUUCAAGCAGAAAAGGUGGAAAAGUGCUACAUCAAGGCAAAUGUAUAAACGUGAGUGUUCUUAGCUUUAGCAAUAUGUUUGGCCAAAUUCUUUUGAAAUUACGAUGUCAUGGACUUCAUGAUGGUAUGCACAGGAUUGUGCAGACGCAACAGAUGACCCUUCCACUACACAGUCGUUUCCAGACCAUCCCAGCAGAAGUUAAUUCCCAGAAAACAGUCCACGUGUGACAAGCACACUUUAAAUACCCCAUGUCGUCCACGUGUUUCCUACAUAGUUUUAGUAACUGUGGUGUCAUAGGUAAGGCAAUACCAGCAUCUUGAGUUGUUACUGGACCUUACUUGGCGAACAGCACCAUUCUUUUGUACAGAAGAAUAGAGAAGAGGGAGAAAGGAACUGCUACAUUUCCAGCUUUCAGCUCAGUAUGUGCCUGGGGCAAACUCUGGGAGGCAUCCAGAGAUGGAAGCUCAGAGUCACUCCCAGCAACGCAGCCAAGACACAGCCUGCAUAUCUUUUAGCACAUUGCAUACAUUGAAAGUGAAGACUGGUCAGCUUUGUGAUUGACUCCAGAUAGAGUCAACUUAAGUUUAGCCAGACUUAUUAGCUCUAAUUCAGCCCUGGGUUUGCCAGACACAACCUGGCUUUUGCACAAUCUCUUAAGUAUUUCUGCACUCCACUCCAAGAGGGUGUAUUAGCUCAUGUGCAACUCAAGGUAUGUUUGCAACACUGCAACCACAAUGAUAAAUGUUGCUGGAGCCAGGACAUACUUCGGUGUUGCCACACAGAAUUCACUCAAGCUUUGGACUCAGUCCUGGAAUGCUGUACUUGCACUUCCGAGUGCAGAUGGACCCCCCUACACAGUGCCAGCUAAGUGUCAGAGCCUCCACAGCACAGUUAAUCCACAACCUGGAUAAACUGCUUGUGGAUGACUGAGAAUUGAUUGCACACCCAUCUAGCACUUCUGUUCUACGGGAGGAUAAACGCUUCUUUGUAAAAGUAUUUGUAGAUGCGAAUUCUACCAUUUCAAACAGUCAUAUUGUAUAUACAUUUCCUGUUUGUUUUCAUUUUAAAUUGUAAAAUGAAUCAUGCCUUUUACUGCAUUUUACAGUACAAACUCCAAACACUGUAGGAGUAGAAGCAUUUAACAUGAAGAGAUGAGUUUGCAGUGCAGGGAUGGUCACACCCAGGCAAGGGAGAAGAAGGAAGCAAAUCACAGCAAAUCACAGAAUCUAAUGCAGCAGAUAACAUGAAUGUGUGUACUUCUUCCCACCAUUUGCUACCCUCCAGGUGUCACCACCACAGCUUGCACAAUCCAUAAGCCUGAAGGAGUCAACCUGUGCAUUGUAUAGACUGUCAAUAAUGCAAAGCAGUACUCUCAGAGGAUGACAAAGGUGGCACUGAAUAUUUGACUGCUCAGCAACAACACUUCUGGUCAUUUUGAAUCUACAUAGCAGGCUUUUGUGAGAAGGGCAACAGAGCAAGAGGUUGCUCAGGAUUGUCUGGCAGAGGAAGUGAACGGUGAAGCUGAGGAUAAGGCUGGCACCAAGCUGAAGAAAAGUUUUAAUAUGCCAAAUUUCUGUGAUUAUUAUUUUUUUUUAAGCACCAAGGAAAAAGAGUUUUAUAAGGCUCGUUAGGAUCAUUCUUUCACAAAGGGAAGAAGAGGACUUAGAGGACGGGGUAAGAGAAAUUAGUUGCCGGUUGUCCUUCUGAACACAGACUGCAAAAUAUUAGCCUCUCUUCUCAACAAGAGACAAGAGGAAAUACCAAGGAAAAGCAGUUAAAGGUCACAGAAUGGCACAUUUUUCGUGUAGUUUAGUAGAAGUAUGUGAAAGCAGCUGUAGAGAAUGGAUAAAUUAUGUUUUAACUUCGGACUGAGCUCAUAAUGUUCAACAAAAAUAUCUACCUUCCCUAUUUAUAGCUGGUUCUGUCAUAAUACUGUGUGCUACUGUGAUUUAUUAGCUGACAAUGGCUUUGAUUAAUCAAUGUGAAAGUCAUCCUCUUAAUAAAGAAGUCAUAAUGAGACAUAAGAUGGUCCCUUGAGUUCCUUGUCCCUUUUUCCUCGGGACCCUUCAUCUGUCCUAUUAGAAAUGCCAAA